CAGUCGCCGCGGGAAUGCGUAGGUGGCAAGCGUUGUCCGGAAUUAUUGGGCGUAAAGGGCUCGCAGGCGGUUUCUUAAGUCUGAUGUGAAAGCCCCCGGCUCAACCGGGGAGGGUCAUUGGAAACUGGGAAACUUGAGUGCAGAAGAGGAGAGUGGAAUUCCACGUGUAGCGGUGAAAUGCGUAGAGAUGUGGAGGAACACCAGUGGCGAAGGCGACUCUCUGGUCUGUAACUGACGCUGAGGAGCGAAAGCGUGGGGAGCGAACAGGAUUAGAUACCCCUGUAGUCCCUGUCUCUUAUAC
rnacentral:rRNA from 1 species